rnacentral:rRNA from 1 species
UUAGAAAGCUUUGCGGCAGGCCUAACACAUGCAAGUCGAGCGGUAGAGAGAAGCUUGCUUCUCUUGAGAGCGGCGGACGGGUGAGUAAUGCCUAGGAAUCUGCCUGGUAGUGGGGGAUAACGUUCGGAAACGAACGCUAAUACCGCAUACGUCCUACGGGAGAAAGCAGGGGACCUUCGGGCCUUGCGCUAUCAGAUGAGCCUAGGUCGGAUUAGCUAGUUGGUGAGGUAAUGGCUCACCAAGGCGACGAUCCGUAACUGGUCUGAGAGGAUGAUCAGUCACACUGGAACUGAGACACGGUCCAGACUCCUACGGGAGGCAGCAGUGGGGAAUAUUGGACAAUGGGCGAAAGCCUGAUCCAGCCAUGCCGCGUGUGUGAAGAAGGUCUUCGGAUUGUAAAGCACUUUAAGUUGGGAGGAAGGGCAUUAACCUAAUACGUUAGUGUUUUGACGUUACCGACAGAAUAAGCACCGGCUAACUCUGUGCCAGCAGCCGCGGUAAUACAGAGGGUGCAAGCGUUAAUCGGAAUUACUGGGCGUAAAGCGCGCGUAGGUGGUUUGUUAAGUUGGAUGUGAAAUCCCCGGGCUCAACCUGGGAACUGCAUUCAAAACUGACUGACUAGAGUAUGGUAGAGGGUGGUGGAAUUUCCUGUGUAGCGGUGAAAUGCGUAGAUAUAGGAAGGAACACCAGUGGCGAAGGCGACCACCUGGACUAAUACUGACACUGAGGUGCGAAAGCGUGGGGAGCAAACAGGAUUAGAUACCCUGGUAGUCCACGCCGUAAACGAUGUCAACUAGCCGUUGGAAGCCUUGAGCUUUUAGUGGCGCAGCUAACGCAUUAAGUUGACCGCCUGGGGAGUACGGCCGCAAGGUUAAAACUCAAAUGAAUUGACGGAAGGGC